rnacentral:SRP_RNA from 10 species
GAGCUCCCGGUGGAGCCCAGCGUCGCGAAGGCGCUGCUGCGGAGCCAAGAGGCCUUCGGCUGCGCCAAGGAGAUGUGCAUCGCCGCAG